GAUGAAGAACGUAGCGAAAUGCGAUAAGUAAUGUGAAUUGCAGAAUUCAGUGAAUCAUCGAAUCUUUGAACGCACAUUGCGCCCGUCAGUAUUCUGGCGGGCAUGCCUGUUCGAGCGUCAUUACGCCCCUCAAGUCCCCUGUGGACUUGGUGUUGGGGAUCGGCGAGGCUGGUUUUCCAGCACAGCCGUCCCUUAAAUUAAUUGGCGGUCUCGCCGUGGCCCUCCUCUGCGCAGUAGUAAAACACUCGCAACAGGAGCCCGGCGCGGUCCACUGCCGUAAAACCCCCCAACUUUUUAUAGUUGACCUCGAAUCAGGUAGGACUACCCGCUGAACUUAAGCAUAUCAAUAAGCGA
rnacentral:misc_RNA from 1 species